AGAGUCAAACUUGGAGGCCCAUGACGUUGGUCCACAGCAUUUGUGAGCUGACCAGAGAAAGGAGACGGGAUUCUGUAUCUUUGACAUUUUGGUUAUUUCUACAUCAGAACACGAGAAGGCAGAUAUUUUUCUAAAAUGGUAAUUUCAUUUCCUUUGGGAUUGACCAGAAGAGGAAUUGCUGAGUCAUAAGCUUCAUUGUCUAUUCUGCCCAGGGCAUUGGCUUCCACCCGAGUAGCAAGCCGAUGUAGAGAGAAGAAAUGAGAAAAAAUCCGAGGAAAAUGAAGGAAAGCCUGCUCUACUUCUGAACUUUCAGUUCCUAGGCAGAUCCACUUGCAGAGAUUGGAGUGAUGGCCACAGUGGAAGCAAGGCAGCUUGCAGGCACCUAAAACUCAGAAAACAGAUCCCCACCAAGUGGAUCUGCCAGCACAGCAGGUAGGCUUCAGACAAGGAGGAACUGCAGACUGACCUCUGACCACCACUCCUUGUUAUAAAUUUCUUCCUCCCAGGCCUGGAGAAACUCACCCCCACAAGCCAGAGCUAACAUUCUUCUUUGCAGACCCCAAAUUUUUAAAUCAAGCUUUUCUUCCUUAACCUUUUGUAUAUCAGAAAAUCUUUUAAUCUACCUGUGACCUAUAAGACCCCUCUUCAAGACAUCCCACACUUUUAGGCCAGCACCACUGUGUAACCUCCAUGUAUUGAUUUUAAGUUUUUCCUGUAACUUCUGCUUUCCUGAAAUCUACCCAUGACUUUACCCCUUAUCUGCAAGCCACUGGGGAGGUUGGGACAUAAGUGUAAGCUGCCUGAUUCUCCUUGCUUGGUGCCCUGCAAAUAUAUGCUUUCCUUUUUCCUGCUGCAAAGGUCAGCGUGGAUAUCUGGUCUUACUGCACCAAGUAAGUGGACCCCUGUUCACUUCCAUAACACAUUCUCACCACCAGCCAGGGGCAAGGAGAGUUAAUCAAGUGCAGCCCACUUAGUUUUCAGAAGAGAAGACUGAAGCCCAACAGGUUUUUACCCCAUCAGCUUUCUCUGCCACCUAGAUUGUGAAUACUAUUUACUAUCACUUGUUUUCUGGGCUUAGAAGCGUGACAACCCAACUUUAAAUCUAAUUCCUAUGUCCCACAUCAACUUUCUAUCUUCUUCUAUUUCUCAGAAACUUCUCUUAUAUUUGUGUGUAAACCAGAAAUAAAAUUCUAAGACCCCUCAACUGACUGAACAGAUCCCCCUUUUGGCCAAGGGCAUUCCAAAGUAAACCUGAAAAACAAGUGCAGUUCAUGAUGGGAAGGGGGAAUCGGACAUGUCUCAUUAUGCCUUCCUCCCUUUGGAAUUCAGGCACAACUGACCAGCAUUAAGAUUAAGACAGAUAUCUUAAGACUGACAAAACACUUUGUAACAAUAAGAUAUCAAGUUCCAACCUGACUAUAGUAUAGCAUCACAUGACAGAUAGCAGGCCUUGAAAGAAAUGAAAAUAUUUUACCCUAAGAUAUAUUUCUUUGACAUAUUUUGAAAUACCCUGCUAAGAUACCUCUUGUGGGGAAAAUGUGCAUUCUAAAGAGAAUCAUUUUCCCUUUACAAGUUUUUCCUUGAUCCAGGAGAGAUUAAAUAAGAGACUGACACAUUUUUGGAUCUGAUUAGAGACAUUUACUAUCUGUCCUUUCUGAAGGCUACUACCUGGAGGGUUCCUCUGCAAGCCAUUGGGGAUGCAUAAUAAGAACUUUGAUCUCCACAACUCCUUAACUCAACCCAGAUACUCCUUUCUAUUGAUUACAGUUCUUCAAUAAUAAUUUAACUCUUUCAACCAAUUGCCCGUCAGAAAAUCUUUGAAUCCACUUGUGAUCUGGAAACCCCCAUUUUGAGUUGUCCUGCUUUGCCAGACUGAACAAAUGUAUACCUUAUGUGUAUUGAUUGAUGGCUGCUUAUAGCCUCUGACCCCCUAAAAUGUAUAAAAUCUAGCUGUAACCCAACCAUCUUUGGAACAUGUUCUCAGGACUUCCUGGGGCUGUGUCACAGGCAUUGGUCACUCAUAUUUGGCUUCUGAAAAUACGUAAACCUCUUUAAAUAUUUUACAGAGUUUAGCUCUUUUUAUGACAUGUAUAUUUAUUUCUCAGAAAGAUCCCCAACCUUAUUUUUCACCUUGAUUAGAGGGCUGAGGUGGAAUAGGUGGAAAGCUUGUCUGGGGUGUGGAAUUUGGGAGCAUAUUGCAAUGUUCAGUGAUUAAUACUAUUUAGAAGAACAAUUUUUGAAAUAAAAAUUAAUUGCAAAACAUGACGGUAAAAUAGAAAACAGUUAAACAAAAGUAAAAACCAAUUAACAGUGCUUUGUGAAGCAAUAUUAAAAACUGAGGCAAAAUAAUAAUAAUCAAUUAUAUUUGCCUUAUUUUUAUUUGGAAUUUGGAUGGUUUGUUCCUCAUGGAUUUUUCUCUUUUUUGGCAUCAAUUUAGU
ensembl:lncRNA novel transcript